GUGAACGCUGGCGGUAGGCCUAACACAUGCAAGUCGAACGGCAGCACAGUAAGAGCUUGCUCUUACGGGUGGCGAGUGGCGGACGGGUGAGGAAUACAUCGGAAUCUACUUUUUCGUGGGGGAUAACGUAGGGAAACUUACACUAAUACCGCAUACGACCUACGGGUGAAAGCAGGGGAUCUUCGGACCUUGCGCGAUUGAAUGAGCCGAUGUCGGAUUAGCUAGUUGGCGGGGUAAAGGCCCACCAAGGCGACGAUCCGUAGCUGGUCUGAGAGGAUGAUCAGCCACACUGGAACUGAGACACGGUCCAGACUCCUACGGGAGGCAGCAGUGGGGAAUAUUGGACAAUGGGCGCAAGCCUGAUCCAGCCAUACCGCGUGGGUGAAGAAGGCCUUCGGGUUGUAAAGCCCUUUUGUUGGGAAAGAAAAGCAGCAGGUUAAUACCCCGCUGUUCUGACGGUACCCAAAGAAUAAGCACCGGCUAACUUCGUG
rnacentral:rRNA from 1 species